rnacentral:rRNA from 1 species
GACGAACGCUGGCGGCGUGCUUAACACAUGCAAGUCGAACGGAAAGGCCCCUUUGGGGGUACUCGUGUGGCGCACGGGUGAGUAACACGUGAGUAACCUGCCCUUGACUUCGGGAUAACUUCAGGAAACUGGGGCUAAUACCGGAUAGGAAUCCUUGCUGCAUGGUGGGGGUUGGAAAGCUUCGGCGGUUUUGGAUGGACUCGCGGCUUAUCAGCUUGUUGGUGGGGUAGUGGCUUACCAAGGCUUUGACGGGUAGCCGGCCUGAGAGGGCGACCGGCCACAUUGGGACUGAGAUACGGCCCAGACGCCUACGGGAGGCAGAAGUGGGGAAGAUUGCACAAGGGGCGGAAGCCUGAUGCAGCAACGCCGCGUGCGGGAUGACGGCCUUCGGGUUGAAAACCGCUUUCAGCAGGGGCGAAGCUUGUGGUGACGGUACCUGCAGAAGAAGCACCGGCUAACUACGUG